CUUGCUUUCUUUGCUGGCGACCGGCGCACGGGUGAGUAACACGUAUCCAACCUGCCCUUUACUCGGGGAUAGCCUUUCGAAAGAAAGAUUAAUACCCGAUAGCAUAACGAUUCCGCAUGGUUUCAUUAUUAAAGGAUUCCGGUAAAGGAUGGGGAUGCGUUCCAUUAGGUUGUUGGUGAGGUAACGGCCCACCAAGCCUUCGAUGGAUAGGGGUUCUGAGAGGAAGGUCCCCCACAUUGGAACUGAGACACGGUCCAA
rnacentral:rRNA from 1 species